rnacentral:rRNA from 1 species
UGUGAGGUUAAGCGACUAAGCGUACACGGUGGAUGCCCUGGCAGUCAGAGGCGAUGAAGGGCGUGCUAAUCUGCGAUAAGCGCCGGUAAGGUGAUAUGAACCGUUAUAACCGGCGAUACCCGAAUGGGGAAACCCAGUGUGAUUCGUCACACUAUCAUUAACUGAAUCCAUAGGUUAAUGAGGCGAACCGGGGGAACUGAAACAUCUAAGUACCCCGAGGAAAAGAAAUCAACCGAGAUUCCCCCAGUAGCGGCGAGCGAACGGGGAGGAGCCCAGAGCCUGAAUCAGCAUGUGUGUUAGUGGAAGCGUCUGGAAAGGCGCGCGAUACAGGGUGACAGCCCCGUACACAAAAGCGCAUGUGCUGUGAGCUCGAUGAGUAGGGCGGGACACGUGGUAUCCUGUCUGAAUAUGGGGGGACCAUCCUCCAAGGCUAAAUACUCCUGACUGACCGAUAGUGAACCAGUACCGUGAGGGAAAGGCGAAAAGAACCCCGGCGAGGGGAGUGAAAAAGAACCUGAAACCGUGUACGUACAAGCAGUGGGAGCCCCACCACCAAAGCAUUCUCUGGUGUUGAAGGCCCUGCAAAGCAGCAUCGCGGUGGCGGAGCGUCGUUUGCGACGCCCGACACACAAAACAAGCGGUGAGUGCUUUGGGGUGGGGUGACUGCGUACCUUUUGUAUAAUGGGUCAGCGACUUAUAUUCUGUAGCAAGGUUAACCGUAUAGGGGAGCCGGAGGGAAACCGAGUCUUAACUGGGCGUUAAGUUGCAGGGUAUAGACCCGAAACCCGGUGAUCUAGCCAUGGGCAGGUUGAAGGUUGGGUAACACUAACUGGAGGACCGAACCGACUAAUGUUGAAAAAUUAGCGGAUGACCUGUGGCUGGGGGUGAAAGGCCAAUCAAACCGGGAGAUAGCUGGUUCUCCCCGAAAGCUAUUUAGGUAGCGCCUCGUGAAU